rnacentral:rRNA from 1 species
GCGGGAAAUCUCACCAGGCCCGGACACUGGAAGGAUUGACAGAUUGAGAGCUCUUUCUCGAUUCGGUGGGUGGUGGUGCAUGGCCGUUCUUAGUUGGUGGAGUGAUUUGUCUGGUUAAUUCCGAUAACGAACGAGACUCUGUCCUGCUAAAUAGUUCCAGCGUCCUUUGUUGCGCUGGAAAUUCUUCUUAGAGGGACUGGCGGCGUUUAGCCGCACGAGAUUGAGCAAUAA